rnacentral:rRNA from 1 species
UGUUUCGGGCCUGGGGGCAGCCGCAGGUCCUCAACAACAGCCCGGGCUUAUGUUAAUAUGACGCUCGAACCGCGCACGACCUCUCCAGAAUCUAACGCACCAAAUGAGCUCGCAAAGCGAUCUGAAUCUCAGGAAUGUGCUCGAAGUACGCAUUCGGACAUGUCAGUAACACGGGUUAUUUAUCGAUGCAUGAAGCCAAUCCUGCCUCGUGAAAGAUUCGAGGUUAUUCCGUAUAGACGAGAUGAGAGAGUCAAUGAGAUCAACAAGAGUGGCACAUCCGGCGGCGCCCCAAGCAUGGGGGUCCGGGGGGCGCUCGGGGCUCCCCCAGGCCGAAGCAACGGUGAAGUAGGUUCCGAUGAUUUUGGAGUUUUGCAACUGGGAAAUAGCCCGUAUAGUACCUGCGGAGGGAUCAUUACAGAGUUGCAAAACUCCCAAAACCAUCGCGAACCCUACCUUCAACCGUUGCUUCGGCGGGCGGGCGCCCCGUGCGCCCCCCCGGCCCCCCUCGCUGGGGGCGCCCGCCGGAGGUGCCCAACUCUUGUUGAUCAUAUGGCCUCUCUGAGUCUUCUGUACUGAAUAAGUCAAAACUUUCAACAACGGAUCUCUUGGUUCUGGCAUCGAUGAAGAACGCAGCGAAAUGCGAUAAGUAAUGUGAAUUGCAGAAUUCAGUGAAUCAUCGAAUCUUUGAACGCACAUUGCGCCCGCCAGUAUUCUGGCGGGCAUGCCUGUUCGAGCGUCAUUUCAACCAUCAAGCCCCCGGGCCUGUGUUGGGGACCUGCGGCUGCCCGCAGGCCCCGAAAACCAGUGGCGGGCUCGCUGUCACCCCGAGCGUAGUAGCAACACCUCGCCCAGGGAGUGCCGCGGGUUCCGGCCGUAAAACCUCGCCCUCGCGGCGAGAACACCCCCCCCAAGGUUGACCUCGGAUCAGGUAGGAAGACCCGCUGAACUUAAGCAUAUCAAAAGCCGGAGGAAUCACCUGGAGUGGGUAAACUCCCCACUAUGGGCAAUCACUCUCACGUGGCUGCUGCGGAGAGGCCCCUUUGGGAGCCCUGCCCCCCUGGUGGAGGUUCGCGGAAGGUGCCAGUCUGUUAGAUAAAAUGAGCACUCAUAAUUCAACUUUACUGCAUGCAAAAGAAAGUAUUACCCGGUAUUACUCUCCGGUUUCCCGGAGUUAUCCCGAUCUUACACGCAGUGUGCCCACGUGUUAGUGACAUGUCCGCAGCUCGUUCCACUAGCGUCACCUCUUAGGGAUCAUCUCGCUCCCCGCGCUCUACUUUGCAGGAUUACGCACUCCACAGCGUUUUCUGCGCAACCCCCGGGCAUAUUAAAAAAAGGAACUGGGGGCGGCCCCAGGGCCCCAAAAACAAUGGGGGGGGGUUUGCUUUUUACCCCCCGGGGUAUAUGAAACACCCUCUCGCCCCGGGGGGGGGUGCCGGGGUUUCCGCCCUAAAAACCCGCCCCCUUCUUGGGGGGGAAACACACCCCCCCCCCCCCC